UACAUAAGAAGGCAAGCUUUAUUGAUGUUUAUAUCAAUUGAAACAACAUGAUUUUUUGUCUCGAUCUUGGGGCAGUAAAAAAGUGAACAAACAGCAGUUCAGCUAUGCAAAUAAAGCUUGAAAGGCACAUCAGGGAGAGAAAAGACAGUCCCUGUCAUUAGCUUUUGCUUAUCAGCCAGUAUCUCCACUUCCAUCUCUUGAAGUUCAACCCUUCAAGUCUGUCAUGUAAGCCCUGCAAUGACACGUCCAGAAAUGCUGAUCAGCAUCAGUGUCAAAAAUUGUUAGACAUACUUCAUCAAGAAAAAAAACCAAAUCAAAACAGCAACAACAAAAUCACAAGGCUUUUGCUAGUGUACAUCAGCAGAUUUGCAUAUAUAGUUGCAGCUCUGUCAGGAAAAUCUUUCGCAUUAUACUGGCAAAAUCUGUCUAUUGGUCCUAUUUCCAGAAUACCUUAUACAGGAAUGGUAGCUGCUAAAAUCAACCCAUCUCCCAGGAGUUUGAAACUGCAGGCAGUCAGGCUACUGGUGGCCAGAGCCACCCAGCUACUUGUCUGCCACCUUUCUUCAGAGAUAACUACAGCACACCUAAUACCUGUGAUUUGGUACAAUCAAUGUCAACAUCAAGGAACAGCCCUAGUGGAAAAAACAUUUCAAAAAUUCAUGUAAAUUAGAACAGCAGACACAGGAGGAGAAAAAGCAGCAUGAAUAUGGGGGUAAAUGAGCACAAAGUCACAUAAAAAGUCAGACAUAGAAGCAACUGCAGAGCUCUGUGGAGUAGAAACAGGUAUUUUUCCACUCCUACAUGUAACUUGCCCAUGUAACUUGUCCAUGAGAACAGUUCAGUUUGAAGAAAUUCACUUGGAGAAGUGAAUCUUGGAGAAGUGAAUCUGCAGCCGAGAUUAAAACUGUGAAUUCACGGUUUUAAUGGAAUCAUGGAGAAAUUUAGUUUCCAUGACUUUCAGUUCAGUAUUUUUAACACUUACUAACUGUUAUGAGAAAAAAAUGUUAAAAAUUUUAAAUAUAAUAUUAAGCACAUUGCUAUGGUCAUCAUGAAAACUGACUACAAAACCAAUUAUUCACAUUUCAUCAAUUUAUAAAAAAUACCUGUCUGUACUUCAGCUUCAGUCUUAAUAAAAACAGCCACUUGUACACUAACUUGUUCAUAUACCAGAACAAUUUCUACACCUACCUGAAAAAAAAAGUUUCAACAAAAUAUGCCAUAAAAAUUGCUUACAAUUUUAAAAUUGACUUGAAAAAAAACCAAAUCCUAACUUAAUGAAUAUUCCCAAAUCUAAAUAUUCUACUCAUGACAGAAAAGUAUUUCACUGCAUAGAUACUGUUUGAAGCACUAAGGUCACAUAUUGUCAGAUAAAUUGCUUCAUAAUUAAUCAAUCAGCCUGGGAAAAGUUCUCCAAGAAAGCCUACUACAGUAUGCCCAAGUGACAAAUUCAAUACCUUUGGCCUUCAUAUAUUCAACAAGUUAUUUAUUAUAAUAAAUGUGUGCAGAGACAGGAAUGUCUUUCUGAAGAUGGUCUGUUAAGUGAACAUCCAAAAAAUAGGUGUAUUCAGAUCAAAAAAUGUGAACUUAAAAGAAAAAAAGGAUAUUUUUAAAGGGAAACAUAUCUGAUGCAUAGGGAAAAGCAACACACCCUAUCAAGUGACUACUUUUCUCAACCAAAACUAAUGAUCCUUUUCAAUGUCAUAUAUUAAAUAUGUGCAAAGACGUACUCAGAAAUUACAUUAACAGAAAUUGCUUAGCAACUUAUUUCAAAUAACAGAAAAAUACAAGGAAACUGUAAGUAAUUCACACUUAAUUAACAGCAAGAGAACAUAUUCAUUGAAUAAAGGAUUUGAAUAAAAAUUAUUGUCUGGCAUCUCUCAGUUCAAGUUUCCAUGACAACUUUUCUUCACUCAUGAAUAGCAGGUUUGAAGUAGUACCAAAGUAUGAUUCAAAUGUACUCUACAUUUUAUUUGAGCUUAUCAAGCAAGAUCCCUAGUAAAGAGAAGAGAAAAUACAUGCUUAUUACAUUCAUUUGACAAAAUACCUGAGUGUGAACUACAAAAGAGUCCACAACAGUGAUGUGUUGGUAAUUAUUUCAAUUUAAACGCCUGACUGCUAGAAAUAGUGGCACAUACUGAAAGCCUAUGCUUACAAAACAUUUAGUUACCAUAAACAAGGCUAGUCAAAUUUAUUUCAAAUAUGAACAAGUUUUGCUUGCAACUGAAGUGUCUCCACAUUUACUAGGUUUCAUCAUGAAAACUGCACAGGAACUCAAACUCUUGUUAACUUCAAAGUAUCAGUAUCUGAAUAACCAGCGGUAGAAAGAGCAAGUUUCUCAUGUGAGUAGAGUGUUAAAUGGAAGGAAAAAAAAUUAUGGUGAAGUACCUUCCAGUGACUGUGAUGUCAUCAAACUAGCUUAAAUAAAAUUAUCAUUUGGUGGUACCUUUGUAUUCAAAAAUUCAAUACAUCCCCAACUUUUGAGGAUGACAAGAUUAAAAAAAAAAAAAAAA
ensembl:lncRNA